rnacentral:rRNA from 1 species
AGUGAACGCUGGCGGUAGGCCUAACACAUGCAAGUCGAACGGCAGCACAGUAAGAGCUUGCUCUUACGGGUGGCGAGUGGCGGACGGGUGAGGAAUACAUCGGAAUCUACUUUUUCGUGGGGGAUAACGUAGGGAAACUUACGCUAAUACCGCAUACGACCUACGGGUGAAAGCAGGGGAUCUUCGGACCUUGCGCGAUUGAAUGAGCCGAUGUCGGAUUAGCUAGUUGGCGGGGUAAAGGCCCACCAAGGCGACGAUCCGUAGCUGGUCUGAGAGGAUGAUCAGCCACACUGGAACUGAGACACGGUCCAGACUCCAACGGGAGGCGGCAGUGGGAAAUAUUGGACAAUGAGCGCAAGCCUGAUCCAGCCCUACCGCGUGGGUGAAGAAGGCCUUCGGGUUGUAAAGCCCUUUUGUUGGGAAAGAAGAGCAGCAGGUUAAUACCCCGCUGUUCUGACGGUACCCGAAGAAUAAGCACCGGCUAACUUCGUG